rnacentral:lncRNA from 1 species
UAAUUUCUAACACCCACAUAUAGUUUCAAAAUACACAUAUCAUAUAAGCAACAUAUAGGGCAUGUAUCGAACAUCAUAUAAGAGCAACACAACAAAUAGGCUACGUUCCAAUACAUACACAUAGUUUCAAUCAUCAUACAUACACAUACUUAUCGUAUCUCCAUAGAUACACAUAGUUUCACACUGUUUAUCAAUACAAAUCGAAACAGAAAGUAAAUAGUAGCAGUCCAUCAAUGCUGGCUUCCAUGAAUGCCAGCUUCCAUGAAGUGAAUCAAAUCUGCAAAAUGAAAACAAGAAAGUUAGAGGAAGAAGAAGAAGAANAAGAAGAAGAAGAAGAAACUAGAAGAAGAAGAAGANNAAGAAGAAGAAGAAGAAAAAGAAAACUAGAAGAAUAAGAACAAGAAGAAAACUAAAACAACAACAACAAGAAGAAGAAAACUAGAAGAAGAAGAAGACUAGAAGAAGGAGAAAAACAAGAAGAAGGAGAAGGAGAAGGAGAAGAUGAUUAUUUAUCUUAUUUUGAGCUUAUUAUGUUAUUUUGGAGGGAGAUACGCUAAGUUAUGAGAUAACCGUGGUUCUUGUGCUAUUUUUGCCUUAACUAAGCUAAUUAUGUUAUAAAUGAACUAAAUAAGCUAAUUAUGUCAUUUUGGAGGAUAAUUAGCGAAGUAUGUCAUUUUGGAGAAUAAAACUACAAGAAGAAGAAGGAGGAGAAGAACAAGACUAGAAGAAGAAGAAGAAGAAGAAGAAGAAGAAGGAGAUGAAGGAGAAGAAGGAGGAGGAGGAGGAGAAGAAGGAGAAGAAGGAGGAGAAGGAUAAGAAGGAUGCGAGAAAGAAGAAGAAGGAGAAGAUGAUUACUUAUCUUAUUUUGAGCUUAUUAUGUUAUUUUGGAGGGAGAUACGCUAAGUUAUGAGCUAACCAAGGUUCUGGUGCUAUUUUUGACCUAACUAAGCGAAUUAUAUCAUAAAUGAACUAAAUAAGCUAAGUAUGUCGUUUUGGAGGAUAAUUAGCUAAGUAUGUCAUUUUGGAGAAUAAAACUAGAAGAAGAAGAAGAAGAUCAAGACUAGAAGAAGAAGGAGGAGGAGGAGGAGGAGGAGGAGGAGAAGGAGAAGGAGAAGAAGGAGGAGAAGGAGAAUAAAGUUGAGAAAAAGAAGGAGCAGAACAAGGAGAAGAUGAUUACUUAUCUCAUUUUGAGAUUAUUAUGACAUUUUGGAGGGGGGUACGCUAAGCUAUGGGAUAACCAAGGUUCUUGUGCUAUUUUUGACCUAACUAAGCUAAUUAUGUCAUAAAUGAACUAAAUAAGCUAAGUAUGUCAUUUUGGAGGAUAAUUAGCUAAGUAUGUCAUUUUUGGAGAAUAAAACGAGAAGAAGGAGAAGAACAAGACUAGAAGAAGAAGAAGAAGAAGAAGAAGGUGAAGAUGAUUACUUAUCUUAUUUUGAGCUUAUUAUGUCAUUUUGGAGGAGGAUACGCUUAGUUAUGAGCUAACCAAGGUUCUUGUGCUAUUUUUGACCUAACUAAGCUAAUUAUGUCAUUUUGGAGGAUAAUUAUCUAAGUAUGUCAUUUUGGAGGAUAAUUAGCUAAGUAUGUCAUUUUGGAGAAUAAAACUAGAAGAAGAAGAAGACUACAAGAAGAAGGAGAAAAAGAAGAAGGAGAAGAAGAAAGUGAACAUGAUUGCUUAUCUUAUUUUGAGCUUAUUAUGUCAUUUUGGAGGAAGAUGCGCUACGUUAUGAGCUAACCAAGGUUCUUGUGCUAUUUUUGACCUAACUAAGCUAAUUACGUCAUUUUGGAGGAUAAUUAUCUAAGUAUGUCAUUUUGGAGGGUAAUUAGCUAAUUAUGUCAUUUUGGAGAAUAAAACUAGAAUAAGAAGGAGAAGGAGAAGAAGAAGACUAGAAGAAGGAGAAAAAGAAGAAGAAGGAGAAGAAGAAGAAGAAGAAGGUGAAGAUGACUACUGUCGUGGUUUUGUCACGGCAGAUGUCCUCGUGAAAGGACUUAGUACGGGAGCCAUCGCACCUUGGUGGCGACUCAAAAGGGGUUAAACGGGAGGAACACGGCGGUUUACCCAGGUUCGGCCCCUCGAGAGGAGGUAAUAGCCUACGUCCUGCUUUGUGCGUAUUGAUGUGGAUUCGAUUACAAGGGAGGCGUAACUCGCCUAACCUAGCGCUCGAUGAUUUUCUAACCCCCCCAAUCCUCCUUCAGACUCGCCUUUAUAUAUAGGUCGAGCUUUAGGGUUUACAAGAGUCCCUUCAUCCUUACAAACCGUGACCACCGUAUUCUCUAAGUCGCCGUUCUGCAGAACUCAGAGAUCUUCCAUAAAUCAUAACCGUCACGCGGCCUUGAACCGCCCAGGCUGAAGCCCAAGUAUCCCAAAGGAUGAAUCGCCUUACUAGUAACCCGGCCCAUCUUGGGCGGGUCACUUAAUAAGCAAUAUCCCCAACAACUACUUAUCUUAUUUAGAGCUUAUUAUGUCAUUUUGGAGGAAGAUACGCUAAGUUAUGAGCUAAGAAGGUUCUUGUGCUAUUUUUGACCUAACUAAGCUAAUUAUGUCAUUUUGGAGGAUAAUUAGUUAAGUAUGUCAUUUGGGAGGAUAAUUAGCUAAGUAUGUCAUUUUGGAGAAUAAAACUAGAAGAAGAAGAAGAUUAUGUCAUAUUGGAGAAAAUAAGCUAAGUAUGCCGGAGAACACUAGGGAAAACUUACCGUCGUCGUCAUCAAGGAUGUGAAUCAUGGGGGUUGCUAGGGGCGGGUUCACUUGGAGAAGGUUGCCCUAGAGAAGGGUUGUGCGAUGCGGCUCGGGAGUUAUUAUGCACCAAAGAUAUUUUGCAAUGUCUCGUUGGCAUGAUGACAGUCAAAUGUUAAUACUACUAACUAAUGGCCAUUGAAAUGAAACUCACCCUUCCAACCCCAGAAAUAUCCGGCAUCGGCGGAGGGGUCUGACAGUUCUGGAGGCACAUAGACUGCACAUUUAUUUUUGAAGGGUUAGUCAUAUCAGUUAGUAAUGAAACGAACAUUACAUGCAUGAUUUGGCUAAUGUGAACAAGAAACUUACCACAAGGAGAUCGUACAUGGUCCGGUUAGCCGCCUUAUUUCGUGCCCUCUUCUCCUCCAAGAACCAAGUCGUGUUCUCCUUCGUGGCUCGGUCCCUCUCCUCCAGAAGCACCUGGGUUGGCGCUCUCUCUUUCUAAAGAGUAGCCU